rnacentral:rRNA from 1 species
GAUGAACGCUGGCGGCGUGCCUAAUACAUGCAAGUCGAGCGAACCGACGAGGGGUUUGCUCCUCUGAGGUUAUCGCCGGAGGGGAGAUUACCACGUGGUUAACCUACCUAAAGGACUGGGAUACUUUCGGGAAACGGGCCCUACUACGGGAAAAUUUAUUGACCUGAAUGGUUCACUAGUGAAAGACGGUUUUGCUUUCACUUAAUGAUGCACCCGCGCGGCAUUCGCUAGUUGGUAAGGUAACGGCUUACCAAGCCAACGAUGCGAAGCCGACCUGAAAGGGUGAUCGGCCACACUGGAACUGAGACACGGUCCAGACUCCUACGGGAGGCAGCAGUAGGGAAUCUUCCGCAAUGGGCGAAAGCCUGACGGAGCAACGCCGCGUGAGUGAUGAAGGUCUUCGGAUCGUAAAACUCUGUUAUUAGGGAAGAACAAAUGUGUAAGUAACUAUGCACGUCUUGACGGUACCUAAUCAGAAAGCCACGGCUAACUACGUG